CACAAAGAGACAUCAAAGCUUACAUCAAAGGACACAGAUUUUUAGCCUACUUGACUGAUAAGGCCGUUACCUAGACUACAGUUUGUUUGUCAGGGAGGAGCUCACAUACAACUUCAUCUAAUUCAUCAUAACGAUUCGUUACCGUUGUUGUAAUUUCUACAACAGAUUGCCAAGGAAAGAGAUAGACUAGUAGGUCUAAUUAAUACUCACUUCUGUCCAUUUAUCAGCUGCUGCUAGAUGUCUCUGCAAUUUUUCUCUCACUGUCUCUAGGAGUCUAGCUCUAUAGGCUACAAGAUCUGGUUGACUCUGACGCAGGUUGUUGACUUCUUCUACAAUGUUAUAAGAAUACACAUGUAAAAAGGAGGAUAUGCACCUCUAAAACGGCUACUAAAUAGUUGUCUGUGUCAUCAUUACUUUACGAGCUCGAGAUUCAGGUUCUAUCAUUGAUUCACUUACUCGAACUCGUUUAUGUAUGCACACACAGAUGUACCUGUGUCUAUGUCAUCAUUACUGUACUGAUUGAGCUCGAGAGAUUGAGGUUCCUUGUCACACUACUUGAGAAUAUGUACAUAUAAUAUAAAUUGGAAUGCUCAUGCCAUCAAUGAUUUCAACCCAUCAUGACUAGAAGGUGUUUUACAAUAAUAAUUAUUGUCGUUUACAUUGGUUGGUCUAAUUACAGCAUCGUGGACACACCUAUACUUUAGAAUUUGGCAGUUAAUUUACUGGCUGUGGACAUGGCUGGUCUGUGGACAGUACGAACAGUUGAACAACACAUUAUAUUGGUAAGAAAAAUUUUCUUUGCAACGAUAUUCACAUGUCUUCUUUAUACACACAGUGACAGAGGACAUGGCUGGUAGUACAAACAGUCGAGCAAACGUGACACACUCGAGCAGCACAAGCACUAGAAGAAACAUUCCUAUUAGUGUUGUAAACUGUCGAACUGUCUGGCUGUUUGUUUCUUAAAAAUUGUUAACACUUUGUUGAAUUAUUAAUGCCAAA